rnacentral:rRNA from 1 species
UGAGGAAUAUUGGUCAAUGGGCGAUGGCCUGAACCAGCCAAGUAGCGUGAAGGAUGACUGCCCUAUGGGUUGUAAACUUCUUUUAUAAAGGAAUAAAGUCGGGUAUGGAUACCCGUUUGCAUGUACUUUAUGAAUAAGGAUCGGCUAACUCCGUGCCAGCAGCCGCGGUAAUACGGAGGAUCCGAGCGUUAUCCGGAUUUAUUGGGUUUAAAGGGAGCGUAGAUGGAUGUUUAAGUCAGUUGUGAAAGUUUGCGGCUCAACCGUAAAAUUGCAGUUGAUACUGGAUAUCUUGAGUGCAGUUGAGGCAGGCGGAAUUCGUGGUGUAGCGGUGAAAUGCUUAGAUAUCACGAAGAACUCCGAUUGCGAAGGCAGCCUGCUAAGCUGCAACUGACAUUGAGGCUCGAAAGUGUGGGUAUCAAAC